ACACAAGGGGGCACAAAUGUGUGCCUUUGGUUGUGCACGUAAUGGGGCACAACUGUGUGCAUUUUGUUGGGCACAGAAUGGGGCACAAAUGUGAGCUUUUUGUGCCUUUUGGUUGUGCACAUAAUGGGGCACAAAUGUAUACCUGGUGUGCCUUUGUUCUGGGACACAAUGGGGCACAAAUUUGUGCCUGGUGUGCGUUUUGGUGCGGGACACAAUGUGCCACAAAAGUUUGCCUUGUGUGCCUUUGUUUGGGCACAGAAUAGGGCACAAAUGUGUGCUUUUUGUGCCUUUUGGUUGGUCACACAAUGGGGCACAAUUGCGUGCCUUGUGUUCCUUUUGGUUUGGCCCAGAAUGGGGCAGAAAUGUGUGCUUUGUGUGCCUUUGGUUGAGAAUACAAUGGGGCACAAAGGGGUGCCUUGUAUGUCUUUUGGUAGGACACACAUUGGGCACAAAUGUGUGCCUUGUUUUCCUUUUUUUGGGGCAUACAAAGGAGCACAAAUGUGUGCCUUGGUUUUUUUGAGGGGAACAAAAUGGAGCACAAAUGUGUGCCUGGUGUGCCUUUGUUUGAGCACAGAAUGGGGCACAAAUGUGUGCCUUUGGUUGGGCACAGAGCGGGGCCAAGUAGAAGAGACUUUGUUGGGGGCAGCCUGGGAAUGUCUUUGGUGGCCUUGGCAUGCGUCAGGAGGCGGGACAGAAGAGGCAGUGUCUCUUGGAGUGGUCGAGCUCAGGCAGCAGCUCCCAGGUAGGUUGCGCCAGGCGUUUUUUGGGGGGGAGGGAUGGAUAGACCGUGGUUGCCUUUGUAGUGGCUGUGUUUCCUUUUUAUGCAUUUGGAUUUUGAGAGCAGAGAAAUGGGAUAAUGCUGGUCAGACAGCGGAGGUGCUUGAGGAGCAGGCACUGUCAGUUGUAUCCCCCAAGCGCAGGAGCUGCCCAGGCCGUGGCAGUUAGCUGUGUGAGUGGCUGUGGCAGGUAGGAGACAGUUGCAUUUGGGAAGGCUGUGUCAGUGCAGGCAGGGUAGCAGGUGUUGCAGGAAAGAGUGUGAGGAUGCGGGUGAGGUUUUAGCUGAGUGUGAGAGCAU
rnacentral:lncRNA from 1 species